GAUGAAGAACGUAGCGAAAUGCGAUAAGUAAUGUGAAUUGCAGAUUUCAGUGAAUCAUCGAAUCUUUGAACGCACCUUGCGCCUUGUGGUAUUCCACAAGGCAUGCCCGUUUGAGUAUCAUUAAAUCAUCAACUCUAAAACCUUUGUGGUUUUUUUAGAGCUUGGUCUUGAGGGUUUUGCAGGCUUUUUUUUUCGAGUCUGCUCCCUUUAAAUGCAUUAGCGAGACUUCCCUAUGCUGAACCGUCUCUUUGACGUGAUAAUUAUCUGCGUAGAAUUUUGGUUCUCGUUGGGCUUGCUUCUAAUCGUCUGUUAAAGACAAAACGGAUUUGGGUGCAUAUAUGCGCCUUUUUCCAAAACCUUUUUUGAUCUCAAAUCGGGUAGGACUACCCGCUGAACUUAAGCAUAUCAAUAAGCGGAGGA
rnacentral:misc_RNA from 1 species